rnacentral:rRNA from 1 species
CCUAUAAGACUGGGAUAACUUCGGGAAACCGGAACUAAUACCGGAUAACAUUUGGAACCGCAUGGUUCUAAAGUGAAAGAUGGUUUUGCUAUCACUUAUAGAUGGACCCGCGCCGUAUUAGCUAGUUGGUAAGGUAACGGCUUACCAAGGCGACGAUACGUAGCCGACCUGAGAGGGUGAUCGGCCACACUGGAACUGAGACACGGUCCAGACUCCUACGGGAGGCAGCAGUAGGGAAUCUUCCGCAAUGGGCGAAAGCCUGACGGAGCAACGCCGCGUGAGUGAUGAAGGGUUUCGGCUCGUAAAACUCUGUUAUUAGGGAAGAACAAAUGUGUAAGUAACUGUGCACAUCUUGACGGUACCUAAUCAGAAAGCCACGGCUAACUACGUGCCAGCAGCCGCGGUAAUACGUAGGUGGCAAGCGUUAUCCGGAAUUAUUGGGCGUAAAGCGCGCGUAGGCGGUUUCUUAAGUCUGAUGUGAAAGCCCACGGCUCAACCGUGGAGGGUCAUUGGAAACUGGGAAACUUGAGUGCAGAAGAGGAAAGUGGAAUUCCAUGUGUAGCGGUGAAAUGCGCAGAGAUAUGGAGGAACACCAGUGGCGAAGGCGACUUUCUGGUCUGUAACUGACGCUGAUGUGCGAAAGCGUGGGGAUCAAACAGGAUUAGAUACCCUGGUAGUCCACGCCGUAAACGAUGAGUGCUAAGUGUUAGGGGGUUUCCGCCCCUUAGUGCUGCAGCUAACGCAUUAAGCACUCCGCCUGGGGAGUACGACCGCAAGGUUGAAACUCAAA